UUGACUCAUUGUCAAGAUUCAAGAAUUGUGGGUCAUUGCUUCACCCUAUUUCAAUGGGACAUUCCUAUAUAUCAGCAUCUUCACAAUCGAAACCUUUUUCUGAAAAUCAGCAAUUUCUAUGGCUUAACUUGGAGAGUUCAAUUUUCUGCGUGAUGCAUGCUGCUCUAAACUAAUAUUUUCUAUUCUAAGACUUUUGCUUCAAAUGAAUUUACCCUCACUUUCAGUUUCAUUAUAAGUAUUCUUUUUUCCUCUUUUCUUUUUUGCUAUUUUCUCAAUGAUUUUCUCUCGUUUCUUUCUUUAGUUUUCCAUUAUUGCAAAAUUAUGCCUCAGCAAGAGCUUGGUUUCAGACUUGUGUUUUUCUGCUUCUAAUUGUUGUUGUCGUCGUCUCAGCUACAUUGGUUCUGUUUCUUGUUUUUGAUCAAAAUCGGAGUUGAUUUCAUUCACGAGUUUUAUAAACCUAUCCAUGCAUUGUUGUGAAUGGAUCUGUUUCAAUUUUUGAGUUCGUCUUGAUUCAGAUCACAGAAAUUGUUGAUUUCAUGGAAUCAUGUGCUGUGGUUCCACGAUUUUUGUAUAUAUUAUAGUGUGAAAAGAAAGAUCUGCAAUGGAAGGCAUUGAUGUCUCAGCAUAUGAGCAUAGUCCUGUGCACAAGGCAAUAGUGUUGAGGGAUCAUAUUGCACUUGAUGAGUUACUUGGGCGUCUCCCAAAACUAAGUAACCCCUUUGAGAUUAAAACUGAGGCUGCUUCAAAAGCGGAGGAUGAGAAGGCUUCAGUGAUCUCUGCUAUUGUGGAUAGAAGGGAUGUACCAAACGGUGACACCCCUAUUCACCUGGCUGUGAAACAUGGUGAUUUUAUUGGAACUGAGAUGCUCAUGGAUGCUGGGGCAAAUGGUAGGUUGAAGAAUAAGGAAGGGUGGACUGCUCUCAGAGAAGCUAUCAUUCACAAACAAGAUAAAAUAGCAAUGGUUAUGAUCAGGUACUAUUGGAAUGACUAUGAGAGAAAGUAUUUUAGAAGGUUGCCUAGGUAUAUAGGGACUAUGAGAAGGAUGAAGGACUUCUACAUGGAGAUUACAUUCCAUUUUGAGAGUUCUGUGAUACCUUUCAUCUCAAGGAUUGCACCUUCAGACACUUACAAGAUUUGGAAAAAAGGUGGCAAUUUGAGGGCAGACAUGACUUUGGCUGGCUUUGAUGGUUUGAAAAUCAAGAGGUCAAAUCAGAGCAUUCUUUUUCUUGGUGAUGGUGCUAAAGAUGAUGAUAGGAAAUUCCCUGGAUCCUUGUUCAAAGUCUCACACAAAGAGAAGGAAGUACUUGUGAUUUCACCCACCAUAGCUUCUCCUACUGAGAGAGAGGUUAAGAAGACAUUGAAUCAGAAGUACAGGACUGACUCAGUAAGGGUUGGGAUCGAUGUGAGUGAGGCAGUUCUUGUUCCCCAGGUAACAUGGAGGAAAAAGGAGAGGAAAGAAAUGGUGGGGCCAUGGAAAGCCAAGGUUUAUGACAUGCAAAAUGUUGUUCUCAGUGUGAAAUCCAAAAGGAUCCCUGGAGCUCCACCACCUGAGGCCAGACAAAGGAAGAAGAAGGAGGGUGAAAAAAUUGAUGACAUUUUGACAGAUGAUGAAAAGAAGCAAUUGGAAGCUGCAAUUAAUUCAACAGAUGAAAAUGGUCCAUGUGAAAAAAGUAACCGUGUGAAGAAAGAAAAGAAGGAAAAGAAAGAAAAGAAAGAAAAGAAAGGGAAGUCUGGUGGACAAAAAGACCACGAGGACAAAACCACAAAGGCAAACUCUGAGAACUUUACUUCCAAAAAUGGUGAAAACCAGUACACAAGAGGGAUGAUACCUGCUCUUUGGCUUUCCCAAAACUUUCCACUAACAAUUGAUGAAUUGCUACCUAUGCUUGACAUUCUUGCUGAGAGAAUUAAAGCAGUUCGUCGGUUAAGAGAACUCCUUACAACAAAACUUCCAAAGGAGACCUUUCCAGUCAGGGUAGCCAUCCCUGUGGUGUCCACUGUUAGAGUGUUGGUGACUUUCACAAAAUUUGAAGAACUACAACAAGAUAAUGGAGAUGAAUUUGAAUCAGCCCCAUCAAGUCCUACUGGUGACCAAAUGAACCUAGAAGAGGAAGAAAAUUCCUCAGCGGCAGCACCAUCAUCAUCAUCAUCAUCAUCAUCAUGGUUUCAGUGGAUAAAGACCCCUUCAAGAUCUAGUUCAUCUAAUUUGGAAUCUAGUAGUAGGGUAUUUGAUGAGCAGGAUCUGUUUGCUAUUCCCUCAGAUUAUACAUGGCUUACUCAAAAAGAAAAGGCAAAACAGAAAAAAGUAGGAUAGGGUAAAAUGGAUGGAAGUAACAAAAGUUAUAAACAUUUCAAAUAGGAUCUUCACAUGGUUGAACAAAAAGUAUAGGAAAACUUUUUGAUAAGGUGAUUUCAAAAGAACAAGCAAUAGCUAGAUUCAUUACACAUGUGAUUGACAAAGACCAUCAUUUGUUAGAACUCGUCUUAUUUUUAUGACAUCCUUUGUAGUUUUUGUAUGUUAUUUACUUAUGAUUAUCAAAUAGAAAUAGUGUCAAAGAUCUAAGGACAAUUGUGAUAGUAGUUUAAAACUUUGAUUUUGUAGAAUCCACACUUAAACAACACAACAAAAUAAAAGUAACACACGAUUUUAAAGGUUAAUUUAUUGUAAUCUAGGAUGUGUUUGGAACUUGGGAGGCUUGAAUUGGGCAUUGAAGUAGCUUAGUCAAAAGAUGGAGUUAUAAUUUCGCAUAAGAAGUUGAUAUCUUACAAGAAACAGGUAUGAUUGACUGUAGACCAGUAGACAAUCAUAUGAACUCAAAUAAGAAAUUAACGACCGAAGAAGUUGAAUUAUUUUCCGACCCAAAAAGAUAUAGGAGACUGGUUAGAAAACUGAUUUAUCUUACUAUUACAAGAUUUGAUCUAUCUUUUGCAGCUAGUGUGGUUAGUCACUUUAUGCAGACUCCUCAAAAUAGCUCGGGCUAGCUUUGUUAUAUGAAGAUAGAGAAAGCAUUUAGGUCUCUGGGUAUUGUGAUGCAGAUUGAGCAAGUUCUCCUAUUGAUAGACAAUCUACUACUAGAUAUUGUGUUUUCCUUGGAUGAAACAUUAUUUCCUGGAAGAGUAAGAAACAGAAUGUAGUGGCCCGAUCGACGGCUGAAGCUGAAUAUAGGGCAAUAGCAUCACUAACAUGUGAACUUAUAUGGGUGAAGAAAUUCCUUCAAGAGAUUAACUUUUGUGACAUCCAAAUUAUGAAGGUGUAUUGCAAUAAUCAAGCUGCUUUCCACAUUGCAUCAAAUCUAGUGUUUCACGAGAGCACUAAACAUAUAAAAAUUGAUUGCCAUUUUUUUUGGGAAAAUUGUUGACAAAAGAAAUAUGUACUGAGUUUGUUAGAUCAAAUGACUAAUUUGCAGAUGUGUUGACUAAGCAAAUGAGGAGGAGGUUCAACAAGAAGUUGCUGCAAUGUCUAAAACAGAUAUUUUUCGGCCGAUGUCACUCAAGCAGUUCUUUAGCCUAGGCAAGAGAAAACAGAGAUGGUAGUCCCUUGGAAACCUAAGAUAAGGUGUAUGAUGUGCACAAUGUAGUUGUGAGCAUAAAGUCUAGAGGAGUCCCGGGAGCUAUGACAGAUGGUGAGCUCUUCUCAUCUUGCAAUGAAAAUGAAACUGAGAGUGAAGAGUUCAAUGAUAUAUUGACUGAGGAGGAAAGAAGGCAAUUGGAAGAUGCGCUUGGCUGGAUUCGGCGGACUUGACCAAUGAGAGUGACUGAAGAACUCCUGCCAUUGCUGGACGUUGUUGCAAACAAAGUCAAAGCAAUUGGCCAAUUAAGAGAACUCCUUACAACUAAACUUCCAAUGGGAAUCUUCCCUGUUAAGGUUGUCAUACCUGUGGUUCUUACUAUGAGAGUAUUGGUUACCUUCACAAAAUUUGAAGAACUACAGCCGGUACAAGAAUUCGACGCCGCCGGCGAGUCCAUCUGCAACCGGCCAAGAGAACCCUGCUGUGCCACAUUUCUCGGCAUCAUCUUGGUUCCAAUGGAUAAAGGCUUCCUAUCGCUCUAGCACAUCUGCUCCAGGAUCCAGCAGUAGGAUAGAAAAUAUUCAAGACCCAUUUGCAAUUCCAUCUGAUAAUACUUGGAUCAGUGCUGAAGCAAAGAAAAAGAAGAUGCAAGAGAAGAACAAAUCAAAGAAAGGAAAAAAGUCAUAGCUAAUUAUGCCAGUGUGAGUGACACUUCAUGAGCAAGCUCCAAAUUUGGAAGUGCUUUUGGGGUUUUAGAGAACUUUGGCCAUUUUCUGGAGAUUGAAUUUGAAGUUAUGGAUUAUCUAUUUCAAGAAUAUGGCAUAAGGAAAAGAAACAUUGUGAUUCAUGCAAUGAUAGCUGCAAAGAAUUUGUUGAUUGUGUUUCAGGACAUAUGGAAAACCAUUAUUAUUUCAGGAUAGUUGCAAUCACAGUGAUCCAACUUUUCAUAUUCAUGAUUGCAGUUUAAAUUCACCUUUGUUUGGUUAUAAUAAUUCUUUUCCCUGAUUUCAUUCAUGUAAAUAAACUCAACAAUUUGCUUAUUCACUUUGAGCUGUAUCAUUUACGUUUUAUUCUAUUUCACCAUUGUUAUUAUUAA